GGGGCAGCCGGGAAGCGGAUGGGGCGGUGCAUCACUCGGGUCCGCUCCACACCGUCGCCACUGCUGUGGUAGCCGGUUGGCCGAGGGGCCACGAUAACUGGUUGCCCGCAGUAGGAGCAGAAUUCGUUAACAUCUGCCAUGUAGUGGAGGUUCCAGAGAAAAAGUGAGAGAAGCUGAGUCUGCACCCUCAACAUGGAGGAAAUAAGCUCUCUUAGGACCAAGAACAGAGGACAGAGGAAGGACUCCAGCAUGAUGGGCACCAAGGGAUUUUGGUCCUUCUGAGAAAGAGGAGUCUUUUUCAGAACUAUUUGAAAACAAGUUGCAGUCAUGAUGCCUCACUACUCCUAAAUGCUAUGCAGUUCCAACAAUGUGUCUUUGCCUUCUGGCCCCAGAAUAUCAUCUGGGAAUGCGUGUUGCAUCAAGUUGCGUCUCUCCAGUUGCCUCCAAUUUGGAAUACAGGGAGGUAUCUAUUCUGCAUAAAUUCAGAUGAGACAAUAAAAACAAUGAUUUCAAAGUUCCAGGUUUUACAAAAGGAGCCUGUGUUUGUGAAAACCUUCAGAGGAUGGAAACAGCAAAUACUGUUGUAGGGGAAGACAAUUGUUUACCUAAGAAAGUGUCCUGUAUUCAGAUUCUCCAGUUUCUAGUGACACUGGAUGCCUAUGGAUCACAGGGACUGUGAGAUAUGUCCUUAGGAGUAAAGUUUUGUUGUGACGUGUUAUAUUCAGUGUUCAAGUAUCCGUGGGUUGAACGAUACUUCUCUUUCUGUCUGUGAGCAUAAACUUGACUUCAGAAGAGAGCAUGGGGUAAAGACAAGCCUCUCUCCUUUCCCAUACUUGAGUAGUAGCAUAUGAAGUCUGGAAAGACAUAACUAGGUAAAAUAUUUUAUAUUACUGUAGUAGGGCUUUACCCCAUUUCAGAGCCUUCCUUUAUCUUUCUUGUUUUUAAUUCUGUAAUUCACGUCACACUAGUCUGAAUUGGUUUUCCUUCUCCAAAACUCCCUGGCCUAUAUCAUAAAUUUAACCCUUUAUAUGAAUUGCUUUACAUUGUUUUCCAGUUGUUUCAUAUCUUGUCUUGAUGCUAUCGAUUGUCAAAGACAGAACAAGGCUGGUUUCACAGUGGGCCUCUUUUCUCAAAAAUAUCCAUUCAUGGGAAUGAGAGAGAAGUUACAUAAUAGUUUUAAUGAAUAACAUUUUUGUAGUGAUCACCUUCAAAAUUUCAAAAUGCUUCUGUUUUUCAAAAAAUAAAGAUUGAUUUUGAAAUUAA
ensembl:lncRNA novel transcript